rnacentral:rRNA from 1 species
UACGAAGGGGCUAGCGUUGCUCGGAAUCACUGGGCGUAAAGGUGCGUAGGCGGGUCUUUAAGUCAGGGGUGAAAUCCUGGAGCUCAACUCCAGAACUGCCUUUGAUACUGAAGAUCUUGAGUUCGGAGAGGUGAGUGGAACUGCGAGUGUAGAGGUGAAAUUCGUAGAUAUUCGCAAGAACACCAGUGGCGAAGGCGGCUCACUGGCCCGAUACUGACGCUGAGGCACGAAAGCGUGGG